CCCCUAGAUGUUCUGGGCCGCACGCGCGCUACACUGAACAGUUCAACAAGUCUUAACCUUGGCCGAUAGGUCUGGGUAAUCUUUGAACGCUGUUCGUGAUUGGGAUAGACCUUUGCAAUUAUGGGUCUUCAACGAGGAAUUCCUAGUAAACGCAAGUCAUCAGCUUGCAUUGAUUACGUCCCUGCCCUUUGUACACACCGCCCGUCGCACCUACCGAUUGAAUGGUCCGGUGAAAUCUCGGGACGGCGGCUUGGUCGCUUGCGUCCGACUGCUGAAACUUGAUUAAACCUUAUCAUUUAGAGGAAGGUGAANUCGUAACA
rnacentral:rRNA from 1 species